rnacentral:rRNA from 1 species
CAGCAGUAGCCACGGUAAUACGUAGGGUGCAAGCGUUAAUCGGAAUUACUGGGCGUAAAGCGUGCGCAGGCGGCUUUGCAAGACAGAUGUGAAAUCCCCGGGCUCAACCUGGGAACUGCAUUUGUGACUGCAUGGCUAGAGUACGGUAGAGGGGGAUGGAAUUCCGCGUGUAGCAGUGAAAUGCGUAGAUAUGCGGAGGAACACCGAUGGCGAAGGCAAUCCCCUGGACCUGUACUGACGCUCAUGCACGAAAGCGUGGGGAGCAAACAGGAUUAGAUACCCGCGUAGUCCCUGUCUCUUAUAC